AACGGAGGGAGCGAGUGUUACUUAUCGUAACUGGGUGUAAAACGUCUGUAGAUGGUCUAAUAAGUCUUUACUAAAAAACACUGUGAAGUGUAAUCUUAUUUAUACUAUUGGACUUGAGUUAAAAAGAUUGUAGCGGUACCUGGUGUGUAAAAGUGAAAUUUGUAAAAACAUCAGGGACGAACAUUUGGGCGAAGGCGGCUACAAAUUUUUAACUGACAUUGAGAGACGAAAGUAUAGGGAGCAAACGGG
rnacentral:rRNA from 1 species